rnacentral:rRNA from 1 species
UACGUAGGGUGCAAGCGUUAAUCGGAAUUACUGGGCGUAAAGGGAGCGUAGGCGGGUUAUCAAGUUGGAGGUGAAAGCCCAGGGCUCAACCUUGGAAUUGCCUUCAAAACUGAUAGCCUAGAGUAUGAUAGAGGUAUGUGGAACUCCGAGUGUAGAGGUGAAAUUCGUAGAUAUUCGGAAGAACACCAGUGGCGAAGGCGACAUACUGGGUCAUGACUGACGCUGAGGCUCGAAAGCGUGGGGAGCAAACAGG